AUUGAACGCUGGCGGCAGGCUUAACACAUGCAAGUCGAGCGGGGUGAUGGUGCUUGCACUAUCACUUAGCGGCGGACGGGUGAGUAAUGCUUAGGAAUCUGCCUAUUAGUGGGGGACAACAUCUCGAAAGGGAUGCUAAUACCGCAUACGUCCUACGGGAGAAAGCAGGGGAUCACUUGUGACCUUGCGCUAAUAGAUGAGCCUAAGUCGGAUUAGCUAGUUGGUGGGGUAAAGGCCUACCAAGGCGACGAUCUGUAGCGGGUCUGAGAGGAUGAUCCGCCACACUGGGACUGAGACACGGCCCAGACUCCUACGGGAGGCGGCAGUGGGGAAUAUUGGACAAUGGGGGGAACCCUGAUCCAGCCAUGCCGCGUGUGUGAAGAAGGCCUUAUGGUUGUAAAGCACUUUAAGCGAGGAGGAGGCUCUUUUGGUUAAUACCUAAGAUGAGUGGACGUUACUCGCAGAAUAAGCACCGGCUAACUCUGUGCCAGCCGCCGCUGUAA
rnacentral:rRNA from 1 species